UUUCCGUAGGUGAACCUGCGGAAGGAUCAUUAUCGUACAAAAUGUGAGGGUCAUGCGAGGGCUGUCGCUGACCCAAAAGUCGUACACGCCCGAGUGUGUCCUCUUGCAUAAUAAUCCAUCUCACCCUUUGUGCAUUACCGCGUGGACAUCCUUCGGGAUCAUCUCGGAGGGGGGCUCGCGUUUUCACACAAACCCCCCUUUAAAAGUGCAGAAUGACCACAUUUAUGCAAUCAAUACAACUUUCAACAACGGAUCUCUUGGCUCUC
rnacentral:misc_RNA from 1 species